rnacentral:rRNA from 1 species
UACGAAGGGGGCUAGCGUUGUUCGGAUUUACUGGGCGUAAAGCGCACGUAGGCGGGUCGUUAAGUCAGGGGUGAAAUCCCGGAGCUCAACUCCGGAACUGCCUUUGAUACUGGCGACCUUGAGGCUGGAAGAGGUUAGUGGAAUUCCCAGUGUAGAGGUGGAAUUCGUAGAUAUUGGGAAGAACACCAGUGGCGAAGGCGGCUAACUGGUCCAGAUCUGACGCUGAGGUGCGAAAGCGUGGGGAGCAAACAGG